rnacentral:rRNA from 1 species
CCUACGGGUGGCAGCAGUCGAGAAUCUUUCACAAUGGGGGAAACCCUGAUGGUGCGACGCCGCGUGGGGGAAUGAAGGCCUACGGAUUGUAAACCUCUUUUAUCUGGGAGCAAAUUAAAAAGCUAGUACCACAAGAGGAAGUGACGGCUAACACUGGGUCAGCUGCCGCGGUAACACAGAGGUCUCAGGCGGUGUUCGGAAUCGCUGGGUGUAAAUUGUUCGGAGGCUGUUUCGUAAGUAGUGUGUGAAAGGGGCGGGCUUAACCCGCGGACGGCACAUGAUACUGGGAGACUAGAGUAAUGGAGGAGGAACCGGAAUGCUUGGUGUAGCAGUGAAAUGCGUAGAUAUCGAGAAGAACACUGAUGGCGAAGGCGGGUUCCUGGACAUUAACUGACGCUGAGGCACGAAGGCGAGGGGAGCGAAAAGGAUUAGAUACCCGGGUAGUC